UGGGGAAUAUUGCACAAUGGGGGAAACCCUGAUGCAGCGACGCCGCGUGAGUGAAGAAGUAUUUCGGUAUGUAAAGCUCUAUCAGCAGGAACGAGACAAGACGGUACCUGACUAAGAAGCCCCGGCUAACUACGUGCCAGCAGCCGCGGUAAUACGUAGGGGGCAAGCGUUAUCCGGAAUCACUGGGUGUAAAGGGAGCGUAGACGGCUGAGCAAGCCUGAAGUGAAAGGCGGGGGCCCAACCCCCGGACUGCUUUGGGAACUGUACGGCUGGAGUGCAGGAGAGGUAAGUGGAAUUCCUAGU
rnacentral:rRNA from 1 species